AGUGUUUGAUCAUGGCUCAGAUUGAACGCCGGCGGCAGGCCUAACACAUGCAAGUCGGGCGGUAACACAGAGAGCUUGCUCUCGGGUGACGAGCGGCGGACGGGUGAGUAAUGUCUGGGAAACUGCCUGAUGGAGGGGGAUAACUACUGGAAAAGGUAGCUAAUACCGCAUAACGUCGCAAGACCAAAGAGGGGGACCUUCGGGCCUCUUGCCAUCAGAUGUGCCCAGAUGGGAUUAGCUAGUAGGUGGGGUAAUGGCUCACCCAGGCGACGAUCCCUAGCUGGUCUGAGAGGAUGACCAGCCACACUGGAACUGAGACACGGUCCAGACUCCUACGGGAGGCAGCAGUGGGGAAUAUUGCACAAUGGGCGCAAGCCUGAUGCAGCCAUGCCGCGUGUGUGAAGAAGGCCUUCGGGUUGUAAAGCACUUUCAGCGAGGAGGAAGGCAUUGUGGUUAAUAACCACAGUGAUUGACGUUACCCGCAGAAGAAGCACCGGCUAACUCCGUGCCACAGCCCGCGGUAAUACCGAGGGUGCAAGCCGUUAAUCGGAAUUACUGGCGUAAAGGGCACGCAGCNGUCUGUCAAGUUGAUGUGAAAUCCCGGCUNAANCUGGGACUGCAUUCAAACUGCAGCU
rnacentral:rRNA from 1 species